CUCCCGCGCAGGUCGUCCUGGUCGAGGCCCAGCAGGGCGGCGCAGCGCUCCAGCGACGGCUGGCUCCGCGCCCGCGGCGUGCAGCCCCCUGCCGAGAGACACACACACCGCGUCACGCACCGCACAGCACCCGCACCCCCUUGAGGGACACACACACCGCGUCACGCACCGCACAGCACCCGCACCCCCUGAGGGACACACGCCCCGCGUCCCGCACCGCACAGCACCCGCACCCCGCGCACCGCAGCACGGCAGGGCAACAGCCACCAGCUCAGCUCUAAGGAAGAUACUGGCCAGCGAUGAUCCUACCUAACCUGACCUUGCUGGUCAUCGUCCACUAACAUGUAAUGUUACCAGUGAAGAAAGCAGUAACAGAACUUGAGAGGGUCUCUGGUAAGAGACAUACUGCCUGGAACAGUUGGAAUACACACCCUGUGUCAACACACAUACAAGCUCCUGAUUCUCCAGAGACUAUGAUGGACUGACUCAUCUUGAGCACUUUCAUGUCACGGAAUGCUUUAUCAGCUUAAAAAGAAGAAUACAUUAAACAUGACACAUACUAAUAUUCAGCAGAAUUGCAAGGGUAAAGUUGAGCUACAA